rnacentral:rRNA from 1 species
CCUACGGGUGACAGCAGUCGAGAAUCAUUCACAAUGGGGGAAACCCUGAUGGUGCGACGCCGCGUGGGGGAAUGAAGGUCUUCGGAUUGUAAACCCCUGUCAUGUGGGAGCAAAUUAAAAAGAUAGUACCACAAGAGGAAGAGACGGCUAACUCUGUGCCAGCAGCCGCGGUAAUACAGAGGUCUCAAGCGUUGUUCGGAAUCACUGGGCGUAAAGCGUGCGUAGGCUGUUUCGUAAGUCGUGUGUGAAAGGCGCGGGCUCAACCCGCGGACGGCACUUGAUACUGCGAGACUAGAGUAAUGGAGGGGGAAGCGGAAUUCUCGGUGUAGCAGUGAAAUGCGUAGAUAUCGAGAGGAACACUCGUGGCGAAGGCGGGUUACUGGACAUUAACUGACGCUGAGGCACGAAGGCCAGGGGAGCGAAAGGGAUUAGAUACCCCUGUAGUC